rnacentral:ncRNA from 1 species
GUAACUCUGGAGAAUCUCAGUAUUGGGUGCCGAAGGGGCAAAAUGGCAGAUUGGCUGCCGUUAAUCUCUCAGGCAAAAGGACAGAGAAUG